UGGGGAAUAUUGGACAAUGGGCGCAAGCCUGAUCCAGCCAUGCCGCGUGUGUGAAGAAGGCCUUAUGGUUGUAAAGCACUUUAAGCGAGGAGGAGGCUACUUUAGUUAAUACCUAGAGAUAGUGGACGUUACUCGCAGAAUAAGCACCGGCUAACUCUGUGCCAGCAGCCGCGGUAAUACAGAGGGUGCAAGCGUUAAUCGGAUUUACUGGGCGUAAAGCGCGCGUAGGCGGCUAAUUAAGUCAAAUGUGAAAUCCCGAGCUUAACUUGGGAAUUGCAUUCGAUACUGGUUAGCUAGAGUGUGGGAGAGGAUGGUAGAAUUCCAGGUGUAGCGGUGAAAUGCGUAGAGAUCUGGAGGAAUACCGAUGGCGAAGGCAGCCAUCUGGCCUAACACUGACGCUGAGGUGCGAAAGCAU
rnacentral:rRNA from 1 species